rnacentral:misc_RNA from 1 species
GAUGAAGAACGUAGCGAAAUGCGAUAAGUAGUGUGAAUUGCAGAAUUCAGUGAAUCAUCGAAUCUUUGAACGCACAUUGCGCCCUUUGGUAUUCCGAGGGGCAUGCCUGUUCGAGCGUCAUUAUAACCCCUCAAGCUCAGCUUGGUGUUGGGGCCUGCUGCACUGGCAGCCCUUAAAAUCAGUGGCGGCGCCAUCUGGCUCUAAGCGUAGUAAUUCUUCUCGCUAUGGAGUCCUGGUGGAUGCUUGCCAUCAACCCCCAAUUUUUCUAUGGUUGACCUCGGAUCAGGUAGGGAUACCCGCUGAACUUAAGCAUAUCAUAAGCGAGGA